rnacentral:rRNA from 1 species
GUCGAGAAUCUUUCACAAUGGGGGCAACCCUGAUGGAGCGACGCCGCGUGGAGGAUAAGGUCUUCGGAUUGUAAACUCCUGUCAUGCGUGAACAAGGUUGCUUGGUUAAUACCUGGGCAAAUUGAUGGUAACGCAAGAGGAAGAGACGGCUAACUCUGUGCCAGCAGCCGCGGUAAUACAGAGGUCUCAAGCGUUGUUCGGAAUCACUGGGCGUAAAGGGUGCGUAGGUGGCGUGGUAAGUCAGAUGUGAAAGCCCGGGGCUCAAACUCGGAACUGCAUCCGAGACUGCCAUGCUAGAGUACUGGAGAGGUGACUAGAAAUCUCGGUGUAGCAGUGAAAUGCGUAGAUAUCGAGAGGAAUACCAAAGGCGUAGGCAGGUCACUGGACAGUUACUGACACUGAGGCACGAAGGCCAGGGGAGCGAACGGGAUUAGAAACCCUUGUAGUCC